GUGUGUGUGUGUGUGUGUGUGUGUGUGUGUGUGUGUGUGUGUGUGUGUGUCUUUUCGUCUUAGUGUUUGUUUUGCUUUUGUCAGAUGGCGAGUUCUUGUUUCUUCGUGUGGGUGUCAAUGUGGCAAAGAUGGAGAUGAAGCUACGGGAUUUUUUUUUUUCACGUGUACGCCUGUAGCUCCGGUAGGCUUGCUUGAGGGGCCUAGAUGGUAGUCGGCCUCAGCCCGUCAUGGCGCAGGCAAGUGUUUAUAGUGGCGCCAUCUCAGGGUGGAUGCUGGUGACGUGAUGCUGUCCGUCGGGUUAAAGUCCCAUAUUAUCAGACUCCGAAACCUUAGUCCAUCUACUUAAAAAGGCUCACGCAGAAGUUAGGUUUCAAUGGUUUGUUUCUGGACCCCGGCGGUAGUUUUGGAAGGCCUCUACGCCGUGAACGUGAAAACACUCAUAACACCACGACGCAUCUCCUCUGUGAAACCGUCGUAAGAGGAGCCCGAUAACGUUUCAUUCUUUUUUUCUUUCUGUCUUUCUUUCUCUAUCAUUUGGAGUGUUACUUUCCCGUUGCAACAAAACUGAGAAAACAAAAAAGUAAGUGAGGGGAGGAGUGACUAAGGGCUGACUCAGAGAUAAGCGACACUUCACAAUUCUCGACUUCGUGUUCAUUUUUAUGGUUCAAGGAAGAAGAAAGUGUUAAGGACUAGCCGAGGCAUGUCCGGGGGAAGCCGUGACUCAGGUGGGCCUCAGGGAAGGUGUUGUGUUACUCCCUACGCCUCCCUUUCUAUUUUUGUUCGAGGAGGAAGAAUAUUUCAAGAGCCGCCGGUUGGGACAUCAGAGAAGGGAGGUGGAGAGCGAGGGGUUCAAUCCGGUAUGCCUCAACGUGGAUGAUGCUUCUUCGGGUCUAUUUUCUCUUGUCUCCCUCAUCCCUGUCUGUUCUGUUAUAUCGUUUUCCUCAUCCUUAUAUAUUCUAAUUUAUCUUCUCUCCCUCAUCCCUGUCUGUUCUAGCUAUAUCGUCUUCCUCAUCCUUAUCUGUUCUAUUUUAUAUUAUCUUCUUCAUUCCCCUUCUGUUCAACUCCAUCUCUUGUCUUGUUUAUGUCUAAGUUUGUCUCGUCUGGUUCUUCUUAUAUGCAGCUCGUCUCAAACUUAGUUCAUGUCAUCUCUAGUUCAUGUCUUGUCCAGUUCAUGUCUUUUCUAGGUCAUGUCUUCUCUAUAGUUCACGUCUUGUCUAGUUUAUGUUUUGUCUAGUUCAUUUUUUUUUUUUUUACCUCAAAGGAUGCGGCUCAAAGGGCAACAAAAAGAGUAGACACACACACACACAAAAAAAAAAAUGAAAUAAAAUAAAUAAAUAAAUAAAUAAAUAAAUAAAAAAGCCCGCUACUCGCCGCUCCCACAAAAGUAAAAAGUAAAGAGUAGCUUGUCUAUGGUUCUUCUCUUUUUAAUUCAUUUUUUGUCCAGUUCCUCUCCUGCCGUACUACUUAACUUUUUUUUUUUUUUUUUUUUACAGCAAAGGAGACAGUUCAAGGGCGUAAAGAAAAAAAAAUAUAUAAAAAAAGCCCGGUACUUACCUUGUCUUGGUCAUCCCCUUCGGCAGGAAAGAACAGGAAAUUAAAACCUUUGGAACAGGAAAUGAUGAAAAUGCAAGGAACAAGAAAAGACAGGGCGUGAGUGGAGCUAUCAGUCUAGAGUGCCUCCAGGUGGUGCCUCCUUCCGCUCGACAGGAUCUCGCAUUACCCUCGCUACCAGGAAAUAGAAGUUUACAUGUUUAGAAUAGGACGUGACUACAACUAAGGGAAGCAAGAGGCAGACUGGAUGUGGAGUAGUCCGUCACAAGUGCCUCAUUACGGGUGCUCCUUCCUUUCUACGUGAUCUCGCAGUACUUACUCUCGCUAGCAGGAAAUAGAAGUUUACAUGUUUAGAAUAGGACGUGACUACAACUAAGGGAAGCAAGAGGCAGACUGGAUGUGGAGUAGUCCGUCACAAGUGCCUCAUUGCGGGUGCUCCUUCCUUUCUACGUGAUCUCGCACUACUUACCCUCGCUAGCAGGAAAGAGGAGUUUAUACGUUUGGCUGGGAUGUGAUUACAGAGGAGAAAGAGGCAGUCAGGGGGAGCAAAGAGGGGGAGGGAAGGUGGGGUGGUCUCCAUUUUUUUUUACGACACGAAGAGACUAAAAAUAAAGUAAUAUGAAGACGCUAGACCCCGUGCCCGACGAGGUGUCCAUGCAGCACUUUUACAGGUUGAUAACUACACCCAACAUACAUAUACUUCUGUUAAUGAAUUACAAGCAGGCCUAACAAACAGGAGUAAAUAAAAGUGAAAUGUGUGAUUUUACCAAAGGAGCAAAACCGUUUAGAAGCUACUGUUGGGUUUUGCGAGUGACAUUUACGAAUAAGGAAGAGCUUGGGAUACGGCCGUAGGACAUAAGGAAGAAGACAUGCUACACCAGAAUCAAGGAAGGAGGAAGGAUGGUGGGGGGAAGGGAACAGCAACAGCCACUACAUUCAUGACGAAAUAUAGAAUGGAUGAACACCAAAAUAGCAAAAUAAGAAACAAGAACGAAAAAAGAGCUUGGAAUACGGUCGUAGGUCAUAAGAAGGAGGACUUGUUGCACUAGAAGAAAGGAAAGGGAGGUGGGAUGGAAGAGAAUGGAUGAACACCAAAAUAGCAAAAUAAGAAACAAGAACGAAAAAAGGGCUUGGAAUACGGUCGUAGGUCAUAAGGAGGAGGACUUGUUGCACUAGAAGAAAGGAGAGGGAGGUGGGAUGGAAGAGAACAGUAACAUCAACAGCCACUUCGUUCAUGGAGGAGCAUAGAACAAAUGAACAUCAAAAUACAAAA